GUGGGGAAUCUUUCACAAUGGACGAAAGUCUGAUGGAGCAACGCCGCGUGCAGGAUGAAUGCCUUAGGGUUGUAAACUGCUUUUAUGAUCGAAGAUUUUGACGGUAGAUCAUGAAUAAGGAUCGGCUAACUCCGUGCCAGCAGCCGCGGUCAUACGGAGGAUCCAAGCGUUAUCCGGAAUUACUGGGCGUAAAGAGUUGCGUAGGCGGCAUAGUAAGCAAAGUGUGAAAUAGUCUCGCUCAACGAGACGCCCAUACUUUGAACUACUAAGCUAGAGUAUGAGAGAGGUCACUGGAAUUCCUAGUGUAGGAGUGAAAUCCGUAGAUAUUAGGAGGAACACCGAUGGCGUAAGCAGGUGACUGGCUCAUUACUGACGCUAAGGCACGAAAGCGUGGGGAGCGAACCGGAUUAGAAACCCUAGUAGUCC
rnacentral:rRNA from 1 species